rnacentral:rRNA from 1 species
CCUACGGGUGGCAACAGUGAGGAAUAUUGGUCAAUGGCCGGAAGGCUGAACCAGCCAUGCCGCGUGAAGGUCAGUGCCCUAUGGGCGUUAAACUUCUUUUGUGCGGGAGCAAUAAUGGUCACGUGUGGCCAGACGAGAGUACCGUACGAAUAAGCAUCGGCUAACUCCGUGCCAGCAGCCGCGGUAAUACGGGGGAUGCAAGCGUUAUCCGGAUUUUUUGGGUGUAAAGGGUGCGUAGGCUGUGAGGUAAGUCAGCGGUGAAAUGCCCCCGCUCAACGGGGUGAAGUGCCAUUGAUACUGCCUUGCGGGAAUGCGGAUGACGUGGGAGGAAUGUGUGGUGGAGCGGUGAAAGGCAUAGAUAUCACACAGAACACCGAUUGCGAAGGCAUCUCACGAAUCCGCGAUUGACGCUGAUGCACGAAAGCGUGGGUAUCAAACAGGAUUAGAUACCCCUGUAGUC